AGUGAACGCUGGCGGUAGGCCUAACACAUGCAAGUCGAACGGCAGCACAGUAAGAGCUUGCUCUUACGGGUGGCGAGUGGCGGACGGGUGAGGAAUACAUCGGAAUCUACUUUUUCGUGGGGGAUAACGUAGGGAAACUUACGCUAAUACCGCAUACGACCUACGGGUGAAAGCAGGGGAUCUUCGGACCUUGCGCGAUUGAAUGAGCCGAUGUCGGAUUAGCUAGUUGGCGGGGUAAAGGCCCACCAAGGCGACGAUCCGUAGCUGGUCUGAGAGGAUGAUCAGCCACACUGGAACUGAGACACGGUCCAGACUCCUACGGGAGGCAGCAGGGGGGAAUAUUGGACAAGGGGCGCAAGCCUGAUCCAGCCAUACCGCGUGGGUGAAGAAGGCCUGCGGGUUGUAAAGCCCUUUUGUUGGGAAAGAAAAGCAGCAGGUUAAUACCCCGCUGUUCGGACGGUACCCAAAGAAUAAGCACCGGCGAACUUCGG
rnacentral:rRNA from 1 species